ACAAAAGCUAUGACCGUGUCAGUAGAGACCCAUCUUCCACAAGAGAGAGGAAACCACCGGGCUGAAAGUUUCCUUUGGUUCAGAUGGCGAUCGAAUUUCCCGCGCGAGCUGCAUCUUUGAAUUUCCGUAUAAGUCUAGUAGGAGAUGCCGUGCAUGCACGUUACGCAUUUGAGUGUCCGCCUGUAUGGGCGGGAAUCAGGGUGGUACCGCGAGUUGUAACCUCGUCCCUAUG
rnacentral:ncRNA from 1 species